GUGGGGAAUAUUGGACAAUGGGCGAAAGCCUGAUCCAGCCAUGCCGCGUGUGUGAAGAAGGUCUUCGGAUUGUAAAGCACUUUAAGUUGGGAGGAAGGGCAGUAAGUUAAUACCUUGCUGUUUUGACGUUACCGACAGAAUAAGCACCGGCUAACUUCGUGCCAGCAGCCGCGGUAAUACGAAGGGUGCAAGCGUUAAUCGGAAUUACUGGGCGUAAAGCGCGCGUAGGUGGUUUUGUAAGUUGGAGGUGAAAUCCCCGGGCUCAACCUGGGAACUGACUCCAAAACUGCAUGACUGGAGUACGGUAGAGGGUAGUGGAAUUUCCUGUGUAGCGGUGAAAUGCGUAGAUAUAGGAAGGAACACCAGUGGCGAAGGCGACUACCUGGACUGAUACUGACACUGAGGUGCGAAAGCGUGGGGAGCAAACAGGAUUAGAAACCCGUGUAGUCC
rnacentral:rRNA from 1 species